rnacentral:lncRNA from 1 species
GGCGUUUCGGCCGCGCAAGGGCAGCCGCCGCACGUAGGCAGCGUCCCCCAGCCCGGGACCCGCAGGAAUGCGAGGGGCAAGACAGAUCGCCGGAGGAGCAGGGGUCAGAAGUCAGUGUUUAACCACUCACUGGCUUUCGGUGAAGCCAGAAUGUUAGCAGCGAGUCGCGGUCGGGGGCCUUGGGGUUGCACACGCUUGCUCCAAGCACCGAGGCUCAGCUGAGCACAUGCACAACCCUCUCGAUGCAGCGGAAAGUCGUGUGGCUUAGGGCCGCACCCCGAAUUUCGCCGCACCCGCCGCUGUGCCAUUUACAACCCCCCACCCCGCCACUGCUGUCACGUAGCAAUCAAGAGUAAAGGUUAUCACAAAGUCUGUUCUUCGAAGGAAAGAGUUGGAAUCAAGGACUUCGGACGGGAGGAAGUUGUUUGGGGCUGAGAGCCAAUGAAGUUUCCUUUCGUCUAAGCUACUUUGGUUGACUUUCUGCCAUCACAAUACAGUCUUCGUGCACCCAGUAUUUCAGACUGCACUCAACUGCUAAGAUUCAAACUUCAACAAAAUGCAGAAUUUUAGUUGUUUACCUUUUUAGUUACAUGGACUCAAAAACAAGCAUCACCAUAACUUUCCACUGUGUGUGACAAUAUAAGAGUCAUAUCUUUGUGGCUCCAAAAAUGUUUAAAAAAGCAACUAGUAUAUUCAAUAUUUAGCUCAUAAGAGCUAAGCACUGUAAAAUACGUCUGACAUCUUCAACAUCAAACUAGAAUAAAGGUAAAAUUAAAAUAGGGUAGAAGAGUGUUCAUGCAUGAUCCAAUCUCACAUGAAACCCUAGUCCUAAAAAAAAGGCAACUCCCAAAUAGGUGUCUUGAUUUCACCCAGUGGCUUUAAAAUAGUUCUUAAUCAUGUAUGCAUUAAGAAGCCAAAACUCAUUGUUAUUUCUGAAGCACAUUAUUUUGAAAUUCUGUUUAAAUCUUCCAUAUUUGUAUGAUGAAAGUUAUGUCACAAAGUUAAUCAUUCCCAGGAUGCUUGCAGUAGGGGUAAUGAAAAACUUCUUGUGCAAGCGGCCAUUAAUCAGCAGUGUAACAUUGCAUAACGUGCUCCAAAGCACGUGUCAUGGGAUCAGAGUACACAGCUGCAUAAUGCAGGCCAGUGUCUGUGCCUCCUGCUGACCUUUUCCAAUGCAGAACUCGAACCAUGUGAUGCAUGCUUCUUGCCAAGUCACUUAUUGCCAAUGAUUAAGUUGGAUGAUAUGGAGAAACAUAAAUUUCUUUCUUUCUUUUUUUUUUUUGGAGUUCUAAAAGGAAGACUCUUUGAAGUCCCUGGCUUCUGGCACAGUGUUGUUGCUGGCUUGGUUAUAUUACUCUUGAUCAUUAUAAAAACUCUCCAUUAAAACUGAUAUCAAAUAUUUUGCUCAAGUGGUUCCUGGCAUUUGCAUUAGAAACAAUAGACAUACCCCCACAAGAAGAGUAUUUUAUAUGUAAGCAACGCAAAAAGUCAAAGACGCUAGAAGCCAAAGACAUACAUAUAUCAAAUCCCAAUCCAUCACGUUUGAUGUUCUUGAGCAAUACUGUUAGCGAGAAACUAUUACUUAAUCUUGCUAGUAUUAUCCAAAGAGAACACUUGCGAAAUACUUAAGACAAACAUGCUGUAAUUAUUACAUGAAUAAAGAGCUUGUGUAGCAUAAACUGUUUUUGUAACAUCAACACAAAUUCUGUUGGAGCAGGCUAAUAAUUAGCCGUGGUAACAACAAUGGCCACUGUGUUUGAGAAGCUCUGAGAGGUAACAGUGCUGCCGGAGGUGAGAUGACUCACGCGUUAUCUUCUACCCUCAAAGUAGCCUUGGUGUAGAGGGACUGUUUUCAAUAAUAUCUUAACCUAGAAAGUCUUCUGAAAUUUCACCAAGGGCUAAUUAUACAUUCUAGUACCAACUAGAAUAUAUCUGGUUCCCUAACAUAUAUUGGAAAUUAAAUUUCAUCUUCAUUUUACUUUUUUUUUUUAAGGAAAGGACUCUUCGAUUUGAUUACUAGCAAACUCUUACUGUACAUGAAAUCCUGUUCAAGGUCUGAAAGCUCAAAUUAAUAAAUGAUUUUGUCAUCAUAAUCUAAAUGUCUAACAGUGGAACAUGAAUUUAACAGUGUGGAAGAAAAGUUGUCCUAAAACAUAAGACAUCUAUAUGUGCUGGGAUUUCAAUACUUUUUAUUUUUACUACUUGAAUGCUGCAUUUAUGCAUUGCUUUGCUUUGGUUUAUGGCUGUUAGUUUAGCAACUAAGGGCUGAAUGAACAGAUCCCUCACAGAUCAUCCAACCUCAUGACCAGGCAAGGGGAGCCUCAGCUGGAGCAGCCUAUUUCUGUUUCCUGGGUCUAGACUCAGAGCAGACAUUUAAAAGACAAUACAGCAGUAAAUCCUCUCCUACCUUGACUACAACUAAACCUGACAUUUGGGAAGUGAGGUAUAGUCAAUAGUUUGGGCUGUAAUAAUAAUUCAAUAAAUAUCAGUUUUGAUGUACCAGAAGUCAGAAAGCUACCUUGUACACCUUGCCAGUAACAGCCCAUGGUAUACCUGGUUGCAUUAGAAUCAGCUGGGGAGGGGGAAGGGAUGUCAGUGGGAAUAGUGCAGUGAGAACCUCCAGAAAAUCUGCUCCUCCAUAUAAACAAUGAGAACAUCGCCAAAGAUUGUAAAAAAAAAAUUGUCAAAACUUUUUCAGAACCCCAGAAAUUAGCCAAAAGCUUGCAACAACCUGAGAAGCAUUCAUUCACGAAAAGUGGCUGAAUCUCAGUAAGAACAAGCUUUGUGGCAUUUUAUUUGUUUUGUUAUUGUUGUUGUUUUUUGAGGUGGAGUUUCAUUUUUGUUGCCCAGGCUGGAGUGCAAUGGCAUGAUCUCGGCUCACUGCAACCUCCGCCUCCUGGGUUCAAGCAAUUCUCCUGUCUCAGCCUCCUGAGUAGCUGUGAUUACAGGCGCCCACCACUACACCCAGCUAAUUUCUGGUAUUUUUAGUAGAAAUGGGGUUUCACCAUGUUGGCCAGGCUGGUCUCAAACUCCUGACCUCAGGUGAUCCGCCUGCCUCGGCAUCCCAAAGUACUGGGAUUAUAGGCCUAAGCCACCACACCGAGCCACUUUGUGGAAUUUUAACUUGCCCUAUUCCACUCCCUCUUCCCAGAGCCACACACACCUUGAAAACUAAUAGUCUCACACUUACGGCAGCCAUGAAAACCAGCAGCCACCAUAGGAGAAUGAAUGUCUUUGUGGCAUCCCCAAAGCCCUAUUCCCAGAAACUUGUCAUUAUCUGAUAUGUCCAGC